GGACAAGUGAAUAAGUGCACAUGGUGGAUGCCUUGGCGAUUACAGGCGAUGAAGGACGUAGUAGCUUGCGAUAAGCUGCGGGGAGUGAGCAAACACACUUUGAUCCGCAGAUUUCCGAAUGGGGAAACCCGGCCUUUUAGGUCAUCGCAUACUGAAUACAUAGGUAUGCGAAGCGAACGCGGCGAACUGAAACAUCUAAGUAGCUGCAGGAAAAGAAAUCAACCGAGAUUCCCAAAGUAGUGGCGAGCGAAAUGGGAAGAGCCUUGUACGUGAUAGUCGACUGGAUAGUGGAACGCCUUGGAAACGGCGGCCAUAGCGGGUGAUAGCCCCGUACACGAAAUCCGGACGGUGGUACUAAGCGUACGACAAGUAGGGCGGGACACGAGAAAUCCUGUCUGAAGAUGGGGGGACCAUCCUCCAAGGCUAAAUACUCGUAAUCGACCGAUAGUGAACCAGUACCGUGAGGGAAAGGCGAAAAGAACCCCGGGAGGGGAGUGAAAUAGAUCCUGAAACCGUGUGCAUACAAACAGUCGGAGCCUCUUCGUGGGGUGACGGCGUACCUUUUGUAUAAUGGGUCAGCGACUUACAUUCAGUGGCGAGGUUAACCAGAUCGGGGAGCCGUAGAGAAAUCGAGUCCGAAUAGGGCGACAGUCGCUGGGUGUAGACCCGAAACCAGGUGAUCUACCCAUGGCCAGGAUGAAGGUGCGGUAACACGCCCUGGAGGUCCGAACCCACUAAUGUUGAAAAAUUAGGGGAUGAGCUGUGGGUAGGGGUGAAAGGCUAAACAAACCUGGAAAUAGCUGGUUCUCUCCGAAAACUAUUUAGGUAGUGCCUCAAGUAUCACCAUCGGGGGUAGAGCACUGUUAUGGCUAGGGGGUCAUUGCGACUUACCAAACCAUUGCAAACUCCGAAUACCGGUGAGUGCGAGCUUGGGAGACAGACGUCGGGUGCUAACGUCCGGCGUCAAGAGGGAAACAACCCAGACCGCCAGCUAAGGUCCCAAAGAUUGGCUAAGUGGAAAACGAAGUGGGAAGGCUAAAACAGUCAGGAUGUUGGCUUAGAAGCAGCCAUCAUUUAAAGAAAGCGUAAUAGCUCACUGAUCGAGUCGUCCUGCGCGGAAGAUGUAACGGGGCUAAGCCAGUCACCGAAGCUGCGGAUAUG
rnacentral:rRNA from 1 species